UGAAAGUGUGCCUGCUAUUUUGGGGUU
rnacentral:piRNA from 1 species